rnacentral:misc_RNA from 1 species
AACGCACAUUGCGCCCGCCAGUAUUCUGGCGGGCAUGCCUGUUCGAGCGUCAUUUCAACCCUCGAAGCCCCUCCGGGGGCAUCGGUGUUGGGGACCGGCCCGCCGCUUUCAAAGCCAGGCGGCGCCGCCCCCGAAAUGCAUUGGCGGUCUCGCCGCAGCCUCCCCUGCGUAGUAGCUCUUUCACCGGAACCUCGCACCGGAGCGCGGCCUGGCCACGCCGUAAAACCCCCCAACUUCUCUGAAAUGUUGACCUCGGAUCAGGUAGGAAUACCCGCUGAACUUAA